GAGUGAACAGGUGCAGCUAUUAAUGCAUUGAAAUGAUGCAGCUCGCCGACGCGGUCUGUGUAGAGAAAUAGGAGGCCCGCUGGAAACCGCCAAUUUAUAUUGCAGGCACGAGACUCCAUUCAAUGCUGACAAUGCUAGAGCACUGCGAUAUCCAGCAUUUAAAACACCUUCAAACACUGUAAAAAGUAUUUGAUUAGCAUGAAUUUGAUAUUAUAUAAGUUCGCAUGAAGCAAACUAGACUUUUAUAAUCAUCCAAGAGGUAAUUCCCGGUAUAGUGUAUCGAAUUGUGGCAGAUUGUGUCUAUUGUGACCACAAUGUUUUCUGCAUCAGGAAAACAGAAAACAACAAUGGCGAAUAACACAGCACGAUAACCGUUUCCAAGCGCCACAUGGUUCGAAACCAUCACAUACAACAUUAAAAACCGGAACCACGAGUUAAUACAGGUGGUGACAGGUCAAUUAUCGCAAGAAGAAUUAUAUCAGCAGGGUUGCAUGCGCGAACACUGGUUAGCCAAAUCACUGCAAUCGCGCAUAAGCGAAAGAACGAAGAUUGAACAGCUGUAUUCUUGAACCUUGGGCGAAUACUUACAGAUGAUACGUUACUGCGAAUGUGCUAGCCGCUGUAUUGUUCUGAAUUAUGUACAAGUAAAGAAUGAUACUGUUUGUAUCUUUUCCUGACUAUUAAAACUAUAUAAAAUCUCCCUCUUCCCGCAUUAAAAAACUCUACCGGCUUAAUUUUGAUGAGACGGCACCUCGUUCAUUUUUACCUAAAAUAACUUCACCGUGACAUGUACGCCUUAUUCGCUCCUUCUGUCAGCACCGUUCACAGUAAGCCUUCUCGAGCGGAGGUAGUAACGAACCGGCCGUUACUCAUCUUAUAACUUGUAUGCAAGAAGCUAGAGACACCGUAGCCUGUGUAACUUGUCCUGUUUUAGUAUAUACCGAGAAGUUGCCCAAUUGUGUUGCUAUUCCUAGCAACGAGGACUACGCAAUGCCCGACUCUAGCAGUGGCCAAGCUUUGAACGGAUCAAACUGAGCGUUAUGAGGAAUGGCUUAUUAAAGUCAGGCUUUUUGAGCAAGCGCUACACUUGUUUACACGAGAAGGGUCUGCAUCCUUUAGGUUCCUUUCCUCAUGGCCAGAGGUUUUGCGAGAAGGGAUGACAUUUUAGUGAGAACAACGUAUGCUCGUUAACAGCGUGUUCAAAGGGGCUGGUUGGUUCAUCAUUAGAAAAGUGCAGAAACAGCGCGACACAGGACAAGUAACUUUACUUGUUCCGUGUCGCGCUGUUCCUAUACUUUUGUAACAUAUGUUCCUUCAAGUCCGAACUUGUAUUGGUUUCCUAAUAAACAAAUAACAAUAUGCAUUUUCAUCUUUUGUUUCAGAUAACAGGUGCCAACAGGAGCAACUGAUCUAUAUGAGCUAUAGCCGUAGCUGUGCGGUUGUCUCUGUCAGGCAGAAUUGCCCAAAUCUCAGUGAGUAUGUUGAACUCCGUGUUCGCAAUUCAUCCAUUUCGGCUGGCCCUGAGUGUGGCUGUGUAAAAAAAUUUGACGAAUACCAUAGCCGAGGACAUCAAGUUUAUACGGCGGAUUGCCAGAGGAUACUUAAGCCGGGCUGUCAAAGUUUCCCUUGUUACGGUGGCUAAAGUUUUCUAAUAAAGCAAUUUUUGUGUGGAGGAGAAGAA